UGGGGAAUAUUGGGCAAUGGGGGAAACCCUGACCCAGCAACGCCGCGUGAGGGAAGAAGGUUUUCGGAUUGUAAACCUCUGUCCUUGGUGAAGAAAGAGAUGACGGUAGCCAAGGAGGAAGCCCCGGCUAACUACGUGCCAGCAGCCGCGGUAAUACGUAGGGGGCGAGCGUUGUCCGGAAUGAUUGGGCGUAAAGGGCGCGUAGGCGGCCUGUUAAGUCUGGAGUGAAAUUCCUGCUUUCAAGGUAGGAAGUGCUUUGGAAACUGGCGGGCUGGAGUGCAGGAGAGGUUAGCGGAAUUCCCGGUGUAGCGGUGAAAUGCGUAGAGAUUGGGAGGAACACCAGUGGCGAAGGCGACUUACUGGGCCGUAACUGACGCUGAGGCGCGAAAGCGUGGGGAGCGAACAGG
rnacentral:rRNA from 2 species